AACAACACCCUCAAUUCCAAAACAAAAAUCAAGAUCCCUCAAAAUUCAACCGUAGGAACUUGAAAAUAAUUUGAGUUCGUAAUCCUCAUUGCGAGAGCUACAAGGAGCACCUAUCAAUCUUACGAAUAGAGUUUUGGAAUCAAGAGUUCAUCUGGAUUCGUAAACUAGAGAUUCAGAGACACGAGUUUCAGAUCAGUAGUAGCAGUUCAAUACCCAGCAAUGAAUCCUCAUAUUCCGAGGAUGGAUUAUUAUUUUAGCACAUUAUUUUAGUUUAUUUUAUUAGACGGAGUUAGUUGGGGACAUGUCCCAUCAACUCUACAGUUCAGACAGUUAGAGGCUUUCCGGACAGUUGUAUAAGUAUUCAGUUUGCAGAAUUAUGUAUUUUAGAUAUUUUGAACCUUA